CCGGCCCCCUGCCCCCAGAAUUUAUAAGAUUUUUUAAACAGCUCAGGAUGAACGCUGGCGGCGUGCCUAAUACAUGCAAGUCGAGCGAACGGACGAGAAGCUUGCUUCUCUGAUGUUAGCGGCGGACGGGUGAGUAACACGUGGAUAACCUACCUAUAAGACUGGGAUAACUUCGGGAAACCGGAGCUAAUACCGGAUAAUAUUUUGAACCGCAUGGUUCAAAAGUGAAAGACGGUCUUGCUGUCACUUAUAGAUGGAUCCGCGCUGCAUUAGCUAGUUGGUAAGGUAACGGCUUACCAAGGCAACGAUGCAUAGCCGACCUGAGAGGGUGAUCGGCCACACUGGAACUGAGACACGGUCCAGACUCCUACGGGAGGCAGCAGUAGGGAAUCUUCCGCAAUGGGCGAAAGCCUGACGGAGCAACGCCGCGUGAGUGAUGAAGGUCUUCGGAUCGUAAAACUCUGUUAUUAGGGAAGAACAUAUGUGUAAGUAACUGUGCACAUCUUGACGGUACCUAAUCAGAAAGCCACGGCUAACUACGUGCCAGCAGCCGCGGUAAUACGUAGGUGGCAAGCGUUAUCCGGAAUUAUUGGGCGUAAAGCGCGCGUAGGCGGUUUUUUAAGUCUGAUGUGAAAGCCCACGGCUCAACCGUGGAGGGUCAUUGGAAACUGGAAAACUUGAGUGCAGAAGAGGAAAGUGGAAUUCCAUGUGUAGCGGUGAAAUGCGCAGAGAUAUGGAGGAACACCAGUGGCGAAGGCGACUUUCUGGUCUGUAACUGACGCUGAUGGCGAAAAGAACGCCC
rnacentral:rRNA from 1 species